AUGAUAAUUCAUCGUGCCAUUAGAGUCUUUCUGAUUGUAUUUCAGUGGGAUCAACAGCAGUAUUGCUACAAAGUUUCUGGAAGAAGGAGGAUUUAUUUCAGCAGCUGCAGCGCUGUGCUGAUUCUCACGGUUCAGAGUUUCUUGUGGCUGUGGAAGCUGAAAGUUUUCUUUAAAGGAAGAGACACAGUCCUGCAAUUUCACAAUGGCAUCAGAGAAACUUUAAAAAAUCACUUCCUACAGUGAAUGCUUGCAAGCUUGGAUAAUACAUCUGGAGAAGGCCAUAUCUGUGUGAUAAAACCUGAAUUUAAAGAAGAGCCAGGGGCUUGUUGCUGCUCCCAUGAUAGUGUUGGUUUUUUCCUUCACCUUUACAACUGAGCCUGCUGCCUCUGCCGUUUAGUGAUGAUCGAUGUGAACAUGCUGGAACUGUUUACAUGAAGUGAGCUGAAUCAUUCAACCUAAUAUUCAUUUGUUUGACUAAAGCCUCUUUAGAGCCACUUGUGAUCUGAUGACUAACGUGGCACAAAGAUGCUAAUGCUCAGUGUAUACAUAAAUCAUUAACUACUUAAUUUGGAUUUGGAAACCUGAGGCAACAGAAUGCUCCAUGGAGAAACAGCUAUAUCUGUCUCUCUCCAUCCUGAACCACCUGUCUCCAGAGACCUGGAAUGCAUUAGAAAAGUUAAUGUAGUGACUGAACUAAAUCUAGAUAGAUCCUCUGUUCCAGAAGAAAGCAGCAUUUUUUGCAACUAGAAAAGCAAGGAAAUCUAGGAUGUUUUCUAGUGAGAAAACAAAAAUCAGCUCGAGCAGUACUGCCAGAGAAAAGUAAGAACUGAGAAGAAUCUGAGCCCCGCUAUAAUUUUCUAAAAAAUAUUUUUUGGAGUACAUUUCUUUAGUGAAGUGUUUUGGCACUCAAGGGGAAAGUGUAUCUUCCAAACUGAUAAACUCACUUGCUGGAUGCAUGUGAUAUGAACAAUUUUCUAACACUGAGGUUCCUCAUCUUGUAACUCUUGUCUUCUUCCUUCUGGUUAAUGAGCUGUGUCCCCCUGACUAAAAUACCAUCAAGAAUAUUAUUGAUAAUGGAGCCUAAUGGAACAUGGGACUCUGUGCUGCUGCAAGGCACUAAGCUGCAAACUUCAUAAUGGGAAAUUCUGAGACUACUUCUAUUUUUAGAUAUAAACUACCAGUGAGAGGCAUUUCAUAACGAUGUCAGUGAAUGGAUUCCAUUCUCUGAAGCUUUUGUUUAUCUUGUGUUACUUAAACAGGUUAAAUGCUUGUAUCUAAGUAUGCAUAAAGCAGUAAAGCUGCUUCUGUACCAAAGCAAGUUAAUCCUGUGUUCAUUUCUGUAGGUCCAAGAUGUGUUAUUGCCCAGGUCUUAGAGAGGAAAACAGUGCUCUGAGCUAACCUGGAUUCUGACACAUGUUGAAAGGGAAGCAGGACCUUCCAACAUUCUUUCUGACUUAAUAAUUUUGCUCUUUCUUUAAUACUACACUACAACCAGAUUGGACCUGUUUUCUUCAUUUGAAUUUUUAAUUUGAUCCUCCUGUGUAAAAGUAUGGUAAAUGACAAUCUACUGGCAUGUUGUUUCUGUUCCUAAAUUUGAGCCAUGUUGUCACUCUGUGUUGUUAUUGAGGAGUGUGAGUGCUUUCAGGAACACAUGACCAGUUGUUUGCUACUUCAGUAGAAUGUUGUUUACCUGAAUGGAAAGCUCAGCCCACCAAAUCUGAAUGUCAGACACAUUUUUUAUUUAGUAAAGCAGACAUUUAAAACAUUAUUUUGUUUUUGACAUCAGGUGACCUCACUUAUUCCUAGAGAAUUAUUACUUAAAUAUUUAAGGCAGAUUCUCACAAAGGGUUUGAUAUGUCCUAGAUAAAAUGUUUGCUUUAACUUUAAAUAUAUAACAUCUAAACUCUACUCCUCUAGAACUUUAUGGCUUUAUAAAUUUGGAAAAGUGAUAUGGAAGUAAAGUGUUGGAGGGCAAACAGGAAUUGUCGCAUGCUUCAGAGAAAUCAAAGUCACUUCAACAUAAGGAUUUUACGAAUAUGUUUUUAUUUAGCUUAAAAGCUGGAAAGUCAGGUUUAAGGGGCAAGUCAAUAUUCUCACAAGGACUUGUUUUACUUUAUGACAUAAAACUUCAAGAUUGCUUGCCAGCUACAUUAGUUUAUAAAGUCUGUUUUUACAGUGAGUGAUAUACUUUAGAAAAAAUAGUUCUUUUCCAGGGAUAGCAUUUUAAUUCUAUUUCAAAUAUUGAGUGAAGAAAGCUCCAAAUAAUUCAGUGCAAUAAACCUUUGCUAUGUUCAAGACUGUAAUAUAAG
rnacentral:lncRNA from 1 species